GAAGGGGGCUAGCGUUGCUCGGAAUCACUGGGCGUAAAGGGUGCGUAGGCGGGUCUUUAAGUCAGGGGUGAAAUCCUGGAGCUCAACUCCAGAACUGCCUUUGAUACUGAAGAUCUUGAGUAUGUGAGAGGUGAGUGGAACUGCGAGUGUAGAGGUGAAAUUCGUAGAUAUUCGCAAGAACACCAGUGGCGAAGGCGGCUCACUGGCCCAUAACUGACGCUGAGGCACGAAAGCGUGGGGAGCAAACAGGAUUAGAUACCCUGGUAGUCCACGCCCGUAAACGAUGAAUGCCAGCCGUUCGUGGGUUUACUCACAAGUGGCGCAGCUAACGCUUUAAGCAUUCCGCCUGGGGAGUACGGUCGCAAGAUUA
rnacentral:rRNA from 1 species